CAAUUCCCCUUUGUCCUAACGACUACAAGAAGGCUCAGGCAACCCUCGAGAACAAGUGUUUACAGACAGGCGAGCAUCGCAAGCAGCAUCUACAGGUACAGGGCGGAGAGCUGCAGAAGCCAAUCCACCACGUCCGAGAGAACUGCAGACAAGUACAUCAUACGGGUUUUUGAUGAAGGAAAGAAUGUCACACCCCGUCCACUCUUCCAAUCAGACCAAAGUACUGAUGCACUCAGGCAAGACAAGCUCUCUGGAGCCACAGGAUCCAUUUUGCUUGCUCUUUUUCCCACGCAGCAGCUAUCAAGAACUAGUUU
rnacentral:lncRNA from 14 species